AGGUGUAGUGCUUACCCAGCUAAUGGUUGCUAUGCAUUGUGAAGACAUCAGGAUCACUAUAUACACUCACAGUGAGCUCCAUAGAAUGUGGUGCUAGCGUGAAUCCCAACCGAGGAUUAACUAGCUUAAAGGGACACUCUAGUCACCAGAACAAUUACAGCGUAAUGUAGUUGUUCUGGUGUCUAUAGACAGUCUCUGCAGGCUUUUUGCAGUAAACUCUGUUUGUUUGAC